rnacentral:tRNA from 1 species
GUUCCCGUAGCUCAGCCGGAUAGAGCGCAAGAUUCCUAAUCUUGAGGCCGUGGGUUCGAAUCCCGCCGGGGACGCCA